CUACGUGCUUUUCUGCACAGAAUCUUCAGGUAUACGGCGGUUCCCAAAAAGAGAAUUGAUAGAAUCGUCGGGAUUGUUUUUUAAGGGGUAAUUUCUUUUUUUCACUUUUUUGAUCCAACGGUUGUUUGAAUUGUAGUUUUUGAAAGAUUGAUGAUAUUUGGCGUUGGAGUCAUCAUUGACCGUAAGAUCAGUAGUUUGUGAUUUGACCAUGAUGGAGUUAGUGAAACUGAUCAUCGGUGGAGAUCAUCUCUCCUCUCUGGUCCUCUCAUUCUGCAUGUAGGUGGGUGUGCUUGAUUUUGAUUUUUUAAGCUGUUGCUCUACUCAGAUCGUAUACAGUAGGGAAGAAAUAGAAGGUAAACAGUAUCAUUGAAUUUUAAGUUAGGGAAUUGGCCUAUGAAAUUAAGGGUGAGCUCUCCUGGAAUUGGGUUG
rnacentral:misc_RNA from 1 species